CAGUCGCCGCGGGAAUACGGAGGGUGCAAGCGUUACUCGGAAUCACUGGGCGUAAAGGACGCGUAGGCGGAUUAUCAAGUCUCUUGUGAAAUCUAACGGCUUAACCGUUAAACUGCUUGGGAAACUGAUAAUCUAGAGUAAGGGAGAGGCAGAUGGAAUUCUUGGUGUAGGGGUAAAAUCCGUAGAGAUCAAGAAGAAUACCCAUUGCGAAAGCGAUCUGCUGGAACUUAACUGACGCUAAUGCGUGAAAGCGUGGGGAGCGAACAGGAUUAGAUACCCCCGUAGUCCCUGUCUCUUAUAC
rnacentral:rRNA from 1 species